rnacentral:rRNA from 2 species
GCAGUCGAGCGGACAGAAGGGAGCUUGCUCCCGGAUGUUAGCGGCGGACGGGUGAGUAACACGUGGGUAACCUGCCUGUAAGACUGGGAUAACUCCGGGAAACCGGAGCUAAUACCGGAUAGUUCCUUGAACCGCAUGGUUCAAGGAUGAAAGACGGUUUCGGCUGUCACUUACAGAUGGACCCGCGGCGCAUUAGCUAGUUGGUGAGGUAACGGCUCACCAAGGCGACGAUGCGUAGCCGACCUGAGAGGGUGAUCGGCCACACUGGGACUGAGACACGGCCCAGACUCCUACGGGAGGCAGCAGUAGGGAAUCUUCCGCAAUGGACGAAAGUCUGACGGAGCAACGCCGCGUGAGUGAUGAAGGUUUUCGGAUCGUAAAGCUCUGUUGUUAGGGAAGAACAAGUGCAAGAGUAACUGCUUGCACCUUGACGGUACCUAACCAGAAAGCCACGGCUAACUACGUGCCAGCAGCCGCGGUAAUACGUAGGUGGCAAGCGUUGUCCGGAAUUAUUGGGCGUAAAGGGCUCGCAGGCGGUUUCUUAAGUCUGAUGUGAAAGCCCCCGGCUCAACCGGGGAGGGUC